rnacentral:tRNA from 2 species
CGCGGAGUGGAGCAGUUGGCAGCUCGUCGGGCUCAUAACCCGAAGGUCGUAGGUUCGAAUCCUGCCUCCGCAACCA